GCCUGGCCCGGCCCCUGGGGACGCGGGGGAGGGCAGGGCCACGGGUCUCGGGGUGCCCAUUCUCGUGACGCCUAGUUGCCUGGGGGAUCGCCAGCAGCUCGCGGUCGGAGCCAACCGGUGGCGGGGCGGACUGCUGGGCAUGUUCUCCGGACAUCAGCUCUAGUCCCCUGCAGUCCUGCCUCAGGCAGGUGAAGGACUGGACUGUCUGUUGCCGAUCAUGGAUCACCACCUGGGAGUCCUUUGCAAAGGGGCCCCACUCUCAAGGGCUGAGCCCUGGGGAAAUGUAGGAGCGGAUCUUCGUUCCACAUGGUGGAAGGGAUGAUUAAGGAACAGCAAGUUGCCGUGAGACAUCUCCUCUGUUCUCUUGCCUUCUUAUUCCCCGGCCCCCAGUAUUUUCCAGCCCUGUGUGAAGUCAUCCCUGUCAAGUUCAAGGUUCACCUCCUUCACAGUCCCCUGGGAACGCAUGAAGACUACAGGCUUCUGAACCUGUCCGAUAAGAAUCUCCAAGUGCAACAGACUAUUAGGUCUCAGGGUUUGAGCCACUGAAGUAGGAGUCCCUUUGGGAUACAAGCAGUGCUUCCCGCGGGGUUGGUGUGUGAGCAGUGCCUGGGCUCUGGUUGGGUGGUAGGAGGGUGAUCGCAUUAAAAGCACGUCCUCUAGGAAAAGAGAAGAGAGAGACAAGUCUUGGGAGCAAGUGAGAGCCUGGAGUGGUUAGCAAAGGGGCCUGCAGUGAGAAGCUCUGGCCAGGCUCACAGUGGAAGGCCCUAGGAAGGGGACAGAACUCGGGGAGAAAAUUCGAGCCAGCCCCAAAAGUGAACCCUUUUUUUAAAAAAUUUUUAUCUAUUUAUUUAGUUUUUUGGUACUGGGGGUAGAACCCAGGGCAUCAGGCAUGCUCCCCAGCCCUUUUUUAUUUUAUUCUGCGGUAACGUCUUGCCGAGUUGCCCAGGCUGGCCUUGAACUUGGAUCAUCCUGCCUCAGCCUCCAGAGUCACUGGAUUUACCAUCAUGCACCCCAUCAUCCGCCAGGUCAUGAACAUUUUUAUGAAGCCCCUUUGAUCCUCUUCCUGGGCAUCGAAGGCAUGCAUCAUUAAGUCAUUUUCUACCUGACUGCCAGCCUCCUCUUUCUAGAAAUGAAAUCUGGCUUCAUUCACUGGACCCUGGACUGUUUCCUGCUAUCAAGUGCGGGGCAGGAGCCACAGGGAGAAGGAGAGUGGGCACUUAUUCUAGGAGACCCUGUGACUCUUCUGCAUGUCCAAGGUCAUUUUGAUCACUGGAACUGAAGCAGCCGGCACAGUAGAGAUUUACUCCCAACAGCCCUUGCGCCUAAUACCGUAUUGCAUUUCAAAACAGCUGUCUUGCUCUCCCAGCCACUUCCUAACUAGGGCUGCAAACGGCCCAGCUUGGCUCCCUCCCUGUCCUGGGACCUGCUCUGGCAAUGAAAUGUGAUCCAGAAAAGCCCCUCUUGCAUGGGCCCCGCCCACCGCCUGCUCCCGCACACCUUCCUAACAGCUCCCCCGUGGGGCAGAGGGGCUCUCGGCCCAGAAUCAGGCCCAGAGCCACAAACGGACCCCACUGGCUGCCUUCCCCACCCCGACUUGAUGUGCACAGCCAGCUGUUGACAAGCACACGGCGGGCAGGGGUGCUCCAAGUUCUAGACUCCCAGAGCCUCUGACGGCCCUGGCGGAUCUGCUUCUGGGUUCCAGUUGCACAGGGAACAUUGUCCUGGGAGUCAGGGGACCCGGUUUAGGUCUCAGCUUGACUGCCCAGGGUAGCCCUGGAGAAGUCCUCUCAGCUUCUUGAGCUGCCUUCUCACCCGUAUGAUAACAAGGGCUAACGUGGUUACGGGAUAGGACUGUUAGAAGUUAACAACAGUCUUAUGAGGUGGAUGCAAUCGCUCUACCUACUCGUAAAGGGAAACUGGCCGGGUAUGGUGGCAUAUGCCUGUCAUCCCAUUAAUGGGGAGGCUGAGGCAGUCGGAUGGCAAGUUUGAGACCAGCCUGGGCAACUUGGUGAGGGGUUGUCUCAAAAUGAAAAGGGCUGGGGAUGUGGCUCAGGGGACAGCGCUCCCGGCUUCAGUCCCCGGUACCAAGAGUAAAUGAGGACACUGAGGGAAACAAGCAGCGUGUUCACGGUCAGUUGGUAGGAACUGAGGGUCACCCCAGGACCUGACCACUAUGUAUGCUGCUUCUGGUGGGAUAAGAAGACUAUAUGAGGGGCUGGGGAUGUGGCUCAAGCGGUAGCGCGCUUGCCUGACUUGCUUGCGGCCCGGGUUCGAUCCUCAGCACCACAUACAAACAAGAUGUUGUG